CCUACGGGUGGCAGCAGUGGGGAAUAUUGCACAAUGGGGGAAACCCUGAUGCAGCGACGCCGCGUGAGCGAUGAAGUAUUUCGGUAUUUAAAACUCUAUCAGCAUGGAAGAAAAUGACGGUACCUGACUAAGAAGCCCCGGCUAAAUACAGGCCAGCACCCGCGGGAAUACGUAGGGAGCAAUCUUUAGCCGGAUUUCCGGGGGGUAAAGGGAGCGUAUACGGCGGUGCAAGCCAGAGGUGAAAGCCCGGGGCUCAAACCCGGGACUGCAUUGGGAACUGUGCUGCUAGAGUUUUGGAGAGGCAGGCGGAAUUCCUAGUGUAGCGGUGAAAUGCGUAGAUAUUAGGAGGAACACCAGUGGCGAAGGCGGCCUGCUGGACGCUGACUGACGUUGAGGCUCGAAAGCGUGGGGAGCAAACAGGAUUAGAUACCCGAGUAGUC
rnacentral:rRNA from 1 species